rnacentral:rRNA from 1 species
CUUAUACAUGCAAGUCGAGCGGACCGACGGGAGCUUGCUCCCUUAGGUCAGCGGCGGACGGGUGAGUAACACGUGGGUAACCUGCCUGUAAGACUGGGAUAACUCCGGGAAACCGGGGCUAAUACCGGAUGCUUGAUUGAACCGCAUGGUUCAAUCAUAAAAGGUGGCUUUUAGCUACCACUUACAGAUGGACCCGCGGCGCAUUAGCUAGUUGGUGAGGUAACGGCUCACCAAGGCGACGAUGCGUAGCCGACCUGAGAGGGUGAUCGGCCACACUGGGACUGAGACACGGCCCAGACUCCUACGGGAGGCAGCAGUAGGGAAUCUUCCGCAAUGGACGAAAGUCUGACGGAGCAACGCCGCGUGAGUGAUGAAGGUUUUCGGAUCGUAAAACUCUGUUGUUAGGGAAGAACAAGUACCGUUCGAAUAGGGCGGUACCUUGACGGUACCUAACCAGAAAGCCACGGCUAACUACGUGCCAGCAGCCGCGGUAAUACGUAGGUGGCAAGCGUUGUCCGGAAUUAUUGGGCGUAAAGCGCGCGCAGGCGGUUUCUUAAGUCUGAUGUGAAAGCCCCCGGCUCAACCGGGGAGGGUCAUUGGAAACUGGGGAACUUGAGUGCAGAAGAGGAGAGUGGAAUUCCACGUGUAGCGGUGAAAUGCGUAGAGAUGUGGAGGAACACCAGUGGCGAAGGCGACUCUCUGGUCUGUAACUGACGCUGAGGCGCGAAAGCGUGGGGAGCGAACAGGAUUAGAUACCCUGGUAGUCCACGCCGUAAACGAUGAGUGCUAAGUGUUAGAGGGUUUCCGCCCUUUAGUGCUGCAGCAAACGCAUUAAGCACUCCGCCUGGGGAGUACGGUCGCAAGACUGAAACUCAAAGGAAUUGACGGGGGCCCGCACAAGCGGUGGAGCAUGUGGUUUAAUUCGAAGCAACGCGAAGAACCUUACCAGGUCUUGACAUCCUCUGACAACCCUAGAGAUAGGGCUUCCCCUUCGGGGGCAGAGUGACAGGUGGUGCAUGGUUGUCGUCAGCUCGUGUCGGGAGAUGUUGGGUUAAGUCCCGCAACGAGCGCAACCCUUGAUCUUAGUUGCCAGCAUUCAGUUGGGCACUCUAAGGUGACUGCCGGUGACAAACCGGAGGAAGGUGGGGAUGACGUCAAAUCA